ACCAUUGGGAUAUUUAGAAUUACCCUAAUUAUUCAAAGGCUGCUUAAUAUAAUUAAAACGCUUUUAUACUGCACUAUCACUAUUCACUAGAGUAUUAACUGCUUACUGCUUUAGAAAAACGAUGAAAAGUGAAACCUCAUGUUGCUCAAUUCACCAAUUACUGCUUCGCCGCCCUACCGCACAUCCGUCACCCCAUCUCCCACCGUCGUUCCACCGCCACACUAUUGAACAUCACUUCACCGCACCGCACCGCUGCACCACCGCUGCACCACCACUGCACUUUCCAGGUAGCUGAUUAUGAAGAGAGAAGAGCAAGAAAUCAAAAUCUUAUUUAUCAGGAACUUUUACUAAGUCAUCCAAAGAAAGACAUGGUGACAUUGCAUAAUACCAGCCAUUUACAAAUAUAUUGACAAAACUAAUGAUCGACAAGCUUAGGGGAAGAUGGAUUUCAUAUGUUACCGGAUGCCAUCAACCAAAUGACGACAUUGAUGAUUUAUCUGGAUUGAAGAUCUAUGAUAUUGGUAUAUCUAAGCUAGAUUAUACUUUUUAAUUUAUUUUUAUCAACAUCAAUAAGAAAGGUGUUUUGAUAAAUAUAUAUAUAUUGUAUUUGUAUAGAACAAAUUUUUGAAUGAAUGAUAAAAUUUAAUUGUUGGA